rnacentral:rRNA from 2 species
UGGGGAAUAUUGGACAAUGGGCGCAAGCCUGAUCCAGCAAUGCCGCGUGGGUGAAGAAGGUCUUCGGAUUGUAAAGCCCUUUCGACGGGGACGAUGAUGACGGUACCCGUAGAAGAAGCCCCGGCUAACUUCGUGCCAGCAGCCGCGGUAAUACGAAGGGGGCUAGCGUUGCUCGGAAUGACUGGGCGUAAAGGGCGCGUAGGCGGAUUGUACAGUCAGGUGUGAAAUUCCUGGGCUCAACCUGGGGGCUGCACUUGAUACGUAUGAUCUUGAGUCCGGAAGAGGGUGGUGGAAUUCCCAGUGUAGAGGUGAAAUUCGUAGAUAUUGGGAAGAACACCGGUGGCGAAGGCGGCCACCUGGUCCGGUACUGACGCUGAGGCGCGAAAGCGUGGGGAGCAAACAGG